GACGAACGCUGGCGGCGCGCUUAACACAUGCAAGUCGAACGGAAAGGCCCUGCUUUUGUGGGGUGCUCGAGUGGCGAACAGGUGAGUAACACGUGAGUAACCUGCCCUUGACUUUGGGAUAACUUCAGGAAACUGGGGCUAAUACCGGAUAGGAGCUCCUGCUGCAUGGUGGGGGUUGGAAAGUUUCGGCGGUUGGGGAUGGACUCGCGGCUUAUCAGCUUGUUGGUGGGGUAGUGGCUUACCAAGGCUUUGACGGGUAGCCGGCCUGAGAGGGUGACCGGCCACAUUGGGACUGAGAUACGGCCCAGACUCCUACGGGAGGCAGCAGUGGGGAAUAUUGCACAAUGGGCGGAAGCCUGAUGCAGCAACGCCGCGUGCGGGAUGACGGCCUUCGGGUUGUAAACCGCUUUCGCCUGUGACGAAGCGUGAGUGACGGUAAUGGGUAAAGAAGCACCGGCUAACUACGUG
rnacentral:rRNA from 1 species